rnacentral:rRNA from 1 species
GGUUCGAUCCUGGCUCAGAUUGAAUGCUAUGGAUGUUUUUACACAUGCAAGUCGAACGGCAGCACGGACUUCGGUCUGGUGGUGAGUGGCGAACGGGUGAGUGUCGUAUCGGAACGUGCCUAGCGGGGGAUAACUACGCGAAAGCGUAGCCAAUACCGCAUGGGCUGGCCCUUCGGGGGAAAGCGGGGACCUUCUCGGGCCUCGCACUAUUAGAGCGGCCGAUAUCGGAUUAGCUAGUUGGUGGGGUAACGGCUCACCAAGGCGACGAUCCGUAGCUGGUUUGAGAGACGACCAGCCACACUGGGACUGGAGACACGGCCCAGACCCUACGGGAGGCAGCAGUGGGGAACGGACAAUGGGGAAACCCCUGAUCCAGCCAUCCCGCGUGUGCGAUGAAGGCCUGCCGGUAAAGCACUUUUGGUAGGAAAGAAACGGCACGGGAUAAUACCCUGUGCAACUGACGGUACCCGCAGAAUAAGCACCGGCUAACUACGCCAGCAGCCGCGGUAAUACGUAGGUGCAAGCGUUAAUCGGAAUUACUGGGCGUAAAGCGUGUGGUUCGGAAAGAAAGAUGUGAAAUCCCAGAGCUUAACUUUGGAACUGCAUUUUUAACUACCGAGCUAGAGGUUGAGGGAGGUGGAAUUUCCGCGUGUAGCAGUGAAAUGUAGAUAUGGAGGAACAAUUGAUAUAAAGGCAGCCUCCUGGGAUACAACACUGACGCUCAUGCACGAAAGCGUGGGGAGCAACAGGAUUAGAUACUCCUGGUAGUCCGCGCCCUAAACGAUGUCAACUAGCUGUUGGGGCCUUCGGCCCGGUAGCGCAGUUAACGCGUGAAGUUGACCGUCUGGGGAGUACGGUCGCAAGAUUAAAAACUCAAAGGAAUUGACGGGGACCCGCACAAGCGGUGGAUGAUGUGGAUUAAUUCGAUGCAAGGAAAAAACCUUACCUACCCUUGACAUGUCUGGAAUCCCGAAGAGAUUUGGGAGUGCUCGCAAGAGAACCGAAACACAGGUGCUGCAUGGUUGCCGCUGUACGCUCGUGUCGUGAGAUGUUGGGUUAAGUCCCAGCAACGAGCGCAACCCUUUGUCAUUAGUUGCUACGAAAGGGCACCUGACGAGAUCGCCGGUGACAAAACCGAGGAAGGUGGGGGAUGACGUCAAGUCCUCAUGGCCCUUAUGGCAGGGCUUCAAUACGUCAUACAAUGGUCGGGACAGAGGGUCGCCAACCCGCGAGGGGAGCCAAUCCCAGAAACCCGAUCGUAGUCCGGACGUAGUCUGCAACUCGACUGCGUAAAGUCGGAAUCGCUUGCAAUCGCGGAUCAGCAUGUCGCGGUGAAUACGUUCCCGGGGUCUUGUACGCACCGCCCGUCACACCAUGGGAGUGGGUUUUACCAGAAGUAGUUAGCCUAACUGUAAGGAGGGCGAUUACCACGGCAGGGGAUUCAUGACUGGGGUGAAGUCGUAACAAAGGUAG